GGCAAGGUGGCCGAGUUGGUCCAAGGCGCCAGGUUCAGGAUCACCUGAAUUUCCGUUUCCUGGUCUCAGUAAUGGGCGUGAGUUCGAAUCUCACCCUUGUCA